rnacentral:sRNA from 1 species
UCGAAUCCAGCGCAGGAAGCGCUACAGGUCAAACAGGGAUUUGAAGGAGCGUGCGUCAGGAUUGACGUGGAUAAGGAAAUCGCCCAGUCUGCAAAGCCCCGCCUCGGCGGGGUUUU